rnacentral:rRNA from 1 species
CUGAUUGAUCCUGUCAGCAGUAUUUGCUUGUUCAGAAGACUAAGCCAUGCAUGUAUAAGUUCACACCUUAAUACGGUGAAACCGCGAAUGGCUCAUUAAAUCAGCUAUUAUUUAUUAGAUCUUACAAGAUUACUUGGAUAACUGUAGUAAUUCUAGAGCUAAUACAUGGAUAUGUGCUUUGGUUCACGCCAAAUGCGAAUUUAUUAGAUCAAAACCAACCGGUUUCGGCCGUUAAAUUGGUGACUCUGGAUAACUAUUCUGAUCGCAUGACCUUGUGUCGGCGACGUAUCUUUCAAGUGUCUGCCCUAUCAACUUAAGUUGGCGAGUUAGUUGCUCACCAUGGUUAUAACGGGUAACGGAGAAUCAGUGUUCGAUACCGGAGAGGGAGCCUUAGAAACGGCUACCACAUCUAAGGAAGGCAGCAGGCGCGCAAAUUACCCACUCUCAGAACGAGGAGGUAGUGAAUUUAAAUAGCGAUGAUGAACUCUUAUGAGGCUCGUCAAUCGAAAUGAGUACAAUUUAAAUCCUUUAACGAGUACCAAUUGGAGGGCAAGUCUGGUGCCAGCAGCCGCGGUAAUUCCAGCUCCAAUAGCGAAUAUUAAAUUUGUUGCAGUUAAAAAGCUCGUAGUUGGAUCCAAGGUUAGGCAUGCCUGUCUGUUCUUAGUAGCAUGACUGUGUGUGUCUGCCUUUAUUAGUUGAAUGUUCAUUAUGGUGGUCUUCAUCGACUGCUAUGAUGUGCUCAACACGUUUACCUUGAAAAAAUCAGAGCGAUCAAGGCAGGCCUUCGUGCUUGUAUGUUGUUGCAAGGAAUAAUAGAAUAGGACUUCGGUUCUAUUUUGUUGGUUUUGAGAAUUGAAGUAAUGAACAAUAGAGACAGUCGGGGGCAUUUGUAUGGUGGCGUUAGAGGUGAAAUUCUGAGAUCGUCGCCAGACAAACUACUGCGAAAGCAUUUGCCAAGGAUGUCUUCAUUAAUCAAGAACGAAAGUCAGAGGUUCGAAGACGAUCAGAUACCGUCCUAGUUCUGACCAUAAACGAUGCCGACCUACAAUCGGGGGUGGUUUAUUAUAUUGACCCUCCCGGCUGUCCUCAGGAAACUUUAAGUUGGUUCUGGGGGGAAUAUGGUCUCAAGACUGAAACUUAAAGGAAUUGACGGAAGGGCACCACCAGGAGUGGAGCCUGCGGCUUAAUUUGACCCAACACGGGGAAUCUCACCCGGUCCGGACACUGGUAGGAUGGACAGAUUGAUAGCUCUUUCUUGAUUCACUGGGUGGUGGUGCAUGGCCGUUCUUAGUUGGUGGAGUGAUUUGUCUGGUUAAUUCCGAUAACGAACGAGACUCUGUCCUGCUAAAUAGUCCAGUGGCAUCAU